rnacentral:rRNA from 1 species
GUAACGGCGAGUGAAGCGGCAACAGCUCAAAUUUGAAAUCUGGCUCUCGGGCCCGAGUUGUAAUUUGUAGAGGAUGCUUUUGGUGAGGUGCCUUCCGAGUUCCCUGGAACGGGACGCCAUAGAGGGUGAGAGCCCCGUCUGGUUGGACACCGAUCCUCUGUAAAGCUCCUUCGACGAGUCGAGUAGUUUGGGAAUGCUGCUCUAAAUGGGAGGUAUAUGUCUUCUAAAGCUAAAUACCGGCCAGAGACCGAUAGCGCACAAGUAGAGUGAUCGAAAGAUGAAAAGAACUUUGAAAAGAGAGUUAAACAGUACGUGAAAUUGUUGAAAGGGAAGCGCUUGUGACCAGACUUGGGCUUGGUUGAUCAUCCGGGGUUCUCCCCGGUGCACUCUUCCGGCCCAGGCCAGCAUCAGUUCGCCCUGGGGGACAAAGGCUUCGGGAAUGUGGCUCUCUCCGGGGAGUGUUAUAGCCCGUUGCGUAAUACCCUGUGGCGGACUGAGGUUCGCGCAUUCGCAAGGAUGCUGGCGUAAUGGUCAUCAGUGACCCGUCUUGAAACACGGACCAAGGAGUCGUCUUCGUAUGCGAGUGUUCGGGUGUCAAACCCCUACGCGAAAUGAAAGUGAACGCAGGUGAGAGCUUCGGCGCAUCAUCGACCGAUCCUGAUGUUAUCGGAUGGAUUUGAGUAAGAGCAUACGGGGCCGGACCCGAAAGAAGGUGAACUAUGCCUGUGUAGGGUGAAGCCAGAGGAAACUCUGGUGGAGGCUCGCAGCGGUUCUGACGUGCAAAUCGAUCGUCAAACAUGGGCAUGGGGGCGAAAGACUAAUCGAACCUUCUAGUAGCUGGUUUCCGCCGAAGUUUCCCUCAGGAUAGCAGUGUUGAACUCAGUUUUAUGAGGUAAAGCGAAUGAUUAGGGACUCGGGGGCGCUAUUUAGCCUUCAUCCAUUCUCAAACUUUAAAUAUGUAAGAAGCCCUUGUUGCUUAAUUGAACGUGGGCA